GUUUGAGAUGUUGACGGGGUCGCUGCCGUUCCAAGGUCAGAACAGGAAGGAGACGAUGACGCAGAUACUCAAGGCGAAGCUCGGCAUGCCGCAGUUUUUGUCGCCGGAAGCGCAGAACCUCCUGAGAGCGCUGUUCAAGCGCAACCCGGCGAACCGACUAGGCGCGGGGCCGGAGGGAGUCGAGGAGAUAAAGAAGCAUCACUACUUCU